CACCACUCAUCUAAAAGCAAACGUUUUCCUGACCUCACCUGAUGAGCUGGCCAGGCUGAGGGGCACCUGCUGGACCUCGGACACCCGCAGACGUGCACGCUCAGCCCCAGCCUCCCCUGGGGACCAGAGCCCCCGCCCGGCAAACAGGCAUCCAGUCCUUCCUCCAGCAGGUGGUCUGUGUCCACAAGGCCAGCGCUCAUGACCACGACUCGAAGGGGUCCGCGUGCGCUGCCUCUCCCAGCUCGCCGGCGAGAUGAGCCUCCAGAGACACAGGGAUCUCAAGAGAAGGGUUUGGGGACGACACGAGAGUUCCGAGCAGGAGCAGGCUGAGGCAAAAUGAAGCUCUGACUGACACCAGCGCGGCCUGGAGGAGUGAAUCCAUGGUGCUGGAAGCCUCCACGGACUUGACCUUGCUGCUCAAGUAAUCGGGAUGCGUUUGCGCCGUUUCAAGAAAUAAAAGAAGGAAGAAAGUUCGAGA